rnacentral:rRNA from 1 species
AUGAACGCUAGCUACAGGCUUAACACAUGCAAGUCGAGGGGCAGCAUGGUCUUAGCUUGCUAAGGCCGAUGGCGACCGGCGCACGGGUGAGUAACACGUAUCCAACCUGCCGUCUACUCUUGGACAGCCUUCUGAAAGGAAGAUUAAUACAAGAUGGCAUCAUGAGUCCGCAUGUUCACAUGAUUAAAGGUAUUCCGGUAGACGAUGGGGAUGCGUUCCAUUAGAUAGUAGGCGGGGUAACGGCCCACCUAGUCUUCGAUGGGUAGGGGUUCUGAGAGGAAGGUCCCCCACAUUGGAACUGAGACACGGUCCAAACUCCUACGGGAGGCAGCAGUGAGGAAUAUUGGUCAAUGGGCGAGAGCCUGAACCAGCCAAGUAGCGUGAAGGAUGACUGCCCUAUGGGUUGUAAACUUCUUUUAUAAAGGAAUAAAGUCGGGUAUGGAUACCCGUUUGCAUGUACUUUAUGAAUAAGGAUCGGCUAACUCCGUGCCAGCAGCCGCGGUAAUACGGAGGAUCCGAGCGUUAUCCGGAUUUAUUGGGUUUAAAGGGAGCGUAGAUGGAUGGUUAAGUCAGUUGUGAAAGUUUGCGGCUCAACCGUAAAAUUGCAGUUGAUACUGGAUAUCUUGAGUGCAGUUGAGGCAGGCGGAAUUCGUGGUGUAGCGGUGAAAUGCUUAGAUAUCACGAAGAACUCCGAUUGCGAAGGCAGCCUGCUAAGCUGCAACUGACAUUGAGGCUCGAAAGUGUGGGUAUCAAACAGGAUUAGAUACCCUGGUAGUCCACGCCGUAAACGAUGAGUGCUAAGUGUUAGGGGGUUUCCGCCCCUUAGUGCUGCAGCUAACGCAUUAAGCACUCCGCCUGGGGAGUACGACCGCAAGGUUGAAACUCAAAGGAAUUGACGGGGACCCGCACAAGCGGUGGAGCAUGUGGUUUAAUUCGAAGCAACGCGAAGAACCUUACCAGGGCUUGACAUCCAACUAACGAAGCAGAGAUGCAUUAGGUGCCCUUCGGGGAAAGUUGAGACAGGUGGUGCAUGGUUGUCGUCAGCUCGUGCCGUGAGGUGUCGGCUUAAGUGCCAUAACGAGCGCAACCCUUGUUGUCAGUUACUAACAGGUUCCGCUGAGGACUCUGACAAGACUGCCAUCGUAAGAUGUGAGGAAGGUGGGGAUGACGUCAAAUCAGCACGGCCCUUACGUCCGGGGCUACACACGUGUUACAAUGGGGGGUACAGAGGGCCGCUACCACGCGAGUGGAUGCCAAUCCCCAAAACCUCUCUCAGUUCGGACUGGAGUCUGCAACCCGACUCCACGAAGCUGGAUUCGCUAGUAAUCGCGCAUCAGCCACGGCGCGGUGAAUACGUUCCCGGGCCUUGUACACACCGCCCGUCAAGCCAUGGGAGCCGGGGGUACCUGAAGUGCGUAACCGCGAGGAGCGCCCUAGGGUAAAACUGGUGACUGGGGCU